UACGAAGGGGGCUAGCGUUGCUCGGAAUCACUGGGCGUAAAGCGCACGUAGGCGGCUUUCUAAGUCAGGGGUGAAAUCCUGGAGCUCAACUCCAGAACUGCCUUUGAUACUGGAGAGCUUGAGUCCGGGAGAGGUGAGUGGAACUCCGAGUGUAGAGGUGAAAUUCGUAGAUAUUCGGAAGAACACCCGUGGCGAAGGCGGCUCUCUGGAACGCAACUGACGCUGAGACGCGAAAGCGUGGGGAGCAAACAGG
rnacentral:rRNA from 1 species